AGCAUUUUGCAUUUUGUGGGGGGGCUUUCUGUACUUCCCGAAACUGACUGAGCGCAUUUAUCAUUAAAGACUAACUCAAAUCAGCGCAAGCCCUCAAACUGAACCACAAAAAAAAUUAAAAAGGGGAAGUUUUUUAACCUUUUAACUGUCAGAAGAAGAGAGCUGACACAUUUUUCGGACACGGGGUGGGGUGGAUAUAAAAGCGCUUUGAAAUGGAGUCACAGCCGGUGUUGGGCCACCCCAACCGAACCUACGGAGUGGCCAAUCCCGGUUAUAUGCCAGCAGCACAGGGAGCACCCGGUAAGCUCCGCGGGUUUAUCACUAAACUUUUGCACUGAACUUGAAGCUUUUUGUUAUACUAUGCAUGUAAAGAGUGUUGUGAUUUGCGCGCGCGCGCACACAAACACACACACACGCACACACACACACACUGGAGUGACGUAAUUUUACGUGCAGGUUAUUCGAGGCUGCUGUCGCUGUACGUAGAAGCUGUAGGAGUCGUGUGUGCGCUACCUACUGCUCACAUAAAAGUUAUAGCCUAGUGUUUGUUAGACGACCUAACCCUGUCUGCGAGGGUUAAAACCCUAACCCCAACCCUAACCGCUGUAGAUGUAGCCUACAGCAUCUUGCAAUGGAUAAAAACACUGAAGGACAAGGUAAGUCCGAUCGCACGAGACUUCAGGUGU